rnacentral:misc_RNA from 1 species
CUCUCAUCUGAAAUAUAAAUCUCAAGAACAGUCUUUGUACCUGAAAACACGCUCUUGAAUAAUAUUCAACACCUUCAGAAACCCAAACCCAACCAACUUUCUCUCUUCUCUUUUCCAAUUUCUCUCUAUAAUAACCCAAAAUUUGCCAUUGAAACAAACAGAUUGGAUCACAACCCAUGUAACAGCUUCGAGGUUAGAAUUCAUUCAUAACAUCACUUAAUUAUUUUUUCCUUCACUUUCUUUCUCUUCAUCUUUCUCUUUCUCUUCCAUUUUUUUUUUCCCUGAGAAAGAGAAGUAAGAUAUAGCUCUAGUUGGGAAAAGAAGGGUGUUGCUUGAUGGGUGUUUUGCCAAAUUUAAGAGGGUCGAGAACUGCAACUCAAGAAGGAUUACCUUUAUCCGAUGGGUUAUCUUCCCCACCAUCGUCAUCUUUUUCAGUCUCGGUUCCUAAGAAGAAAUGGUCAAACUUUUUGCCUGUUUUUGUUGUUCUUGUGGUUAUAGCUGAGAUCGCCUUUUUGGGCCGUCUUGACAUGGCUAAAAAUGCUGCUCUAGUUGAAUGGGCUGAUAGUUUGUUUUUUAAGUCUUCUCCAUUGCACGACUCGGGUUUGGAAAGUGAGGAUUUUGGACAGAAACUGGGAGAUUUUCAGAAGAAUGAAGGAAAUUUGGGCUUAGAUAGUUGCGAGGAGUGGUUAGAGAAAGAGGACGCUGUGGUUUACAAAAGGGAUUUUAAUAAAGAUCCUAUCUUGGUUAUUGGUGCUGAGAAGGAGUGGAGGACUUGUGCUGUGGGAUGCAGUUUUGGAUUUGACUCCAGUAGAAAACCUGAUGCUGCAUUUGGUUCACCUAACCAAGGUGGAACUGUUAGUGUGCUCCGAUCGAUGGAAUCAUCUCACUACUAUUCCGAGAACAAUAUUGCACAGGCACGACGGAGGGGUUACAAAAUUAUAAUGACAACUAGUCUUUCAUCAGAUGUGCCAGUUGGAUAUUUUUCCUGGGCUGAGUAUGAUAUCAUGGCACCAAUGCAGCCAAAGACUGAAAAAGCACUUGCAGCUGCUUUCAUUUCUAACUGUGGUGCACGAAACUUUCGUUUGCAAGCUCUUGAGGGACUUGAAAAGGCAAAAAUCAAAAUAGAUUCUUAUGGUGGUUGCCAUCGGAACCGUGAUGGAAGAGUGGACAAAGUAGAGACUCUCAAACGAUAUAAAUUUAGCUUGGCUUUUGAGAAUUCAAAUGAGGAGGAUUAUGUUACUGAAAAAUUUUUCCAAUCUCUUGUUGCUGGAACCAUCCCUGUGGUUGUUGGUGCCCCAAAUAUUCAAGAUUUUGCUCCUGCACCUGGGUCAAUUUUACACAUUAAGGAGCUAGAAGAUGUUGGAUCAGUUGCAAAAUCUAUGAAUUACCUUGCAGAAAAUCCUGAUGCAUACAAUCGUUCAUUAAGGUGGAAGUAUGAGGGACCAUCUGAUUCUUUCAAGGCCCUUGUUGAUAUGGCAGCUGUACACUCUUCAUGCCGCCUUUGCAUUCACUUGGCAACUAUGAUUCGAGAGAAAGAGGAACAUAGCCCACGGUUUAAGAAACGCCCCUGCAAGUGCACCAGAGGCUCAGAGAUUGUGUAUCAUUUAUAUGUAAGAGAAAGAGGACGGUUUGAAAUGGAGUCCAUAUUCUUGAGGUCUGGGAACUUGACCCUAAAUGCUCUGGAGUCUAAAGUGUUAAAGAAGUUCAAUUCUAUGAAACACACACCAGUUUGGAAGCAGGAACGACCAGAAAGCAUAAGAGGAGAUGAUUAUAAAAUCUACAAAAUAUACCCAUUAGGCAUGACACAGAGGCAAGCUUUAUAUACCUUCAAGUUCAAUGGGGAUGUUGAUUUCCAGAAUCACUUGGAAAUCAACCCGUGUGCAAAGUUUGAAGUGAUAUUUGUGUAGGAUUGCUAGUGUUCAGCACCAACCACUUCGGUAACUGUAAUAUUUGCAGAGAAGUCGAGAUUGAGGUGAAGGUGAUUCUGUGAGAAUAGUGGCAUUCAUCUUCUGCCUUUGUCCUCAUUGUAUCCAAUGUUUUACAUGGGCUAUGAAAUGUAAUAGAUGGAGGCGUUAGUUGAGAGUAUUUAUGGGGUUGAGGUCCUUGUGCAUCAUGAUCAUUUGAUCUUUGACAAAAGUCGCGAUAAGUGAACAAAAUACACAAAAUUGGGGUUUAUUUUUGGUUAAGUUCUAUUUAUAUUGGUUGUAAUUUGUUUUCUGUCGACAAGUUUUACGUUGAUUUUGUGUUGGAUUUAAUCUUGUCAUAGUUUUAUUGUUUUUGGGUCAAAAUAGGUAUCAUUGUAGUAGAAGAGAUUAUAAAGUGAAAGACCGAAGUGAAACUGUAAACAACAUGCCUGAGGGAACGUCCUUACUAGAAAUGACGUUCAUGGCCAUGUUAUGCUUUGCCAAUUUGUUCUCGUGUUUCAGGGCAUGAACUAAUGUUUCUUGAGAACUACAUGGGAUGGGGCUUCUAAAGUCCAGCCUGCCUUUGGGACCGUGUCUCAUCUUUCGUUGGUGUUAAUUGGGAUUACACCAUAAGGAAUAACGCAUUUUAAGGCGUGAACUUCGAAUGGGGUUCGUGUUUUUCUUGUGCCAUCUUGCUAGCAAACCAUCUUUGGAUCAAUUAAUGGCGCAAAUUUCAAUUAGGUGAAUGAAGGAAAGGUGCGACGUGUCCUAAGAUAUAUAAGGUCUCCAGUCCCUGUAAAGAGGGAAAUAAGAGACAAGUAGGAGGUUUUCGUUUUUUGGGUGACUCGAUAAAAAAAAAUUGAACAACAUUAAGCAAUUGGGAAAUCCAUCAAGAGCUUGAAGGCAUUGGAGUUCUCAUUUAAGUCUAAAGGGUUCUUCUUUAGGACAGUGUGUCUGUUUCUCUUUGUAUUGAAUUUUAUCCAUUUGUGAGAAUGAUGAAAUUGAGAUUUAUUUUAAUAUAUAUUAUGUUUGAUU